rnacentral:rRNA from 1 species
GAUGAACGCUAGCUACAGGCUUAACACAUGCAAGUCGAGGGGCAUCAGGAAGAAAGCUUGCUUUCUUUGCUGGCGACCGGCGCACGGGUGAGUAACACGUAUCCAACCUGCCCUUUACUCGGGGAUAGCCUUUCGAAAGAAAGAUUAAUACCCGAUGGGAUAAUGAUUCCGCAUGGAUUGAUGAUUAAAGGAUUCCGGUAAAGGAUGGGGCUGCGUUCCAUUAGGUUGUUGGUGAGGUAACGGCUCACCAAGCCUUCGAUGGGUAGGGGUUCUAAGAGGAAGGUCCCCAACAUUGGAACUGAGGCACGGUCCGAACGCCUACGGGAGGCGGCAGUGAGGAAUAUUGGUCAAUGGGCGCGAGCCUGAACCAGCCAAGUAGCGUGAAGGAUGACUGCCCUAUGGGUUGUAAACUUCUUUUAUAUUAGAAUAAAGUGCAGUAUGUAUACUGUUUUGUAUGUAUAAUAUGAAUAAGGACCGGCUAACUCCGUGCCAGCAGCCGCCGUAA